ACACCACGACUACCCGAUCGAGGGAACUGUUUUUACGCUCGUAAACAUGCGGCUGUGUGCUGCAAACAAAGCUCGCCACCUCCCCCCCCCUAAAUGUUAAUCUGACCCACGAAAAACGGUAUGCUUCACGUCGUCAAUAACCCCUAUGACGUCGUGUUUAUAUUAUUAUGCGAUUGGGCGAAAAAAAAUGCUUGCGCAGUGACGUACGGUUCAGCAUAUAUA